rnacentral:ncRNA from 1 species
AAGGCCUGAUGUGUGUGAGAUUACCCGCUGAAUUUAAGCAUAUAAGUAAGCGGAGGAAAAGAAACUAACUAGGAUUCCCUUAGUAAUGGCGAAUGAACAGGGAUCAGCUCAGUGCCAAAUCGGAAUCACUUGUGGUUCUGAAAUGUGGCUUGAAGGCAGUACCAGUGGCAUCGCGGACGAAAGUCUCUUGGAAAAGAGCGUCAUAGAGGGUGAGAAUCCCGUGAGUCGUUCGCCGUUUGUCACGUACGGUCUGCGUCUAACG